rnacentral:rRNA from 1 species
ACCAGCACGUUAUGGUGGGCACUCUAAGGAGACUGCCGGUGACAACCGGAGGAAGGUGGGGAUGACGUCAAGUCAUCAUGGCCCUUACGGCCUGGGCUACACACGUGCUACAAUGGUCGGUACAAAGGGUUGCCAAGCCGCGAGGUGGAGCUAAUCCCAUAAAACCGAUCGUAGUCCGGAUCGCAGUCUGCAACUCGACUGCGUGAAGUCGGAAUCGCUAGUAAUCGUGAAUCAGAAUGUCACGGUGAAUACGUUCCCGGGCCUU